UGGUCAAGUUAUUAAGGGUGCAGGGCGGAUGCCUUGGCACUAGGAGCCGAUGAAGGACGUGAUAAGCUGCGAUAAGCUUCGGGGAGUUGCACGUAAACUUUGA
rnacentral:rRNA from 2 species